rnacentral:rRNA from 1 species
CCCUUAGAUGUUCUGGGCCGCACACGCGCUACACUGAAGGAGGCAGCGUGUACUCCUGGAUCGAAAGAUUUGGGUAACCCGCGAAUCUCCUUCGUGCUAGGGAUUGAGGUUUGCAAUUAUCCUUCAUGAACGAGGAAUUCCCAGUAAGUGCGAGUCAUAAGCUUGCGCUGACUACGUCCCUGCCCUUUGUACACACCGCCCGUCGCUACUACCGAUUGAAUGAUUUAGUGAGGACUUCGGACUGGGACCGAUGCGGCUUUCGGGCUGCGUCGGUAUUCUGGAAAGAUGUCCAAACUGUAUCAUUUAGAGGAAGUAAAAGUCGUANCA